rnacentral:rRNA from 1 species
ACUCAAAGGAAUAGACGGGUGCCCGCACAAGCAGUGGAGUAUGUGGUUUAAUUCGAAGCAACGCGAAGAACCUUACCAGGGCUUGACAUCCUACUAACGAAGCAGAGAUGCAUAAGGUGCCCUUCGGGGAAAGUAGAGACAGGUGGUGCAUGGUUGUCGUCAGCUCGUGUCGUGAGAUGUUGGGUUAAGUCCCGCAACGAGCGCAACCCUUAUUGUUAGUUGCUACGCAAGAGCACUCUAGCAAGACUGCCGUUGACAAAACGGAGGAAGGUGGGGACGAGGUCAAAUCAUCAUGCCCCUUAUGUCCUGGGCUACACACGUACUACAAUGGCGGUCAACAACGGGCAGCGAAGUCGCGAGACGGAGCCAAUCCCCAAAAGCCGCCUCAGUUCAGAUUGCAGGCUGCAAUUCGCCUGCAUGAAGUCGGAAUUGCUAGUAAUCGCAGAUCAGCAUGCUGCGGUGAAUACGUUCCCGGGCAUUGCACACACCGCCCGU